rnacentral:rRNA from 1 species
AAUGAACGCUGGCGGUAGGCCUAACACAUGCAAGUCGAACGGCAGCACAGUAAGAGCUUGCUCUUACGGGUGGCGAGUGGCGGACGGGUGAGGAAUACAUCGGAAUCUACUUUUUCGUGGGGGAUAACGUAGGGAAACUUACGCUAAUACCGCAUACGACCUACGGGUGAAAGCAGGGGAUCUUCGGACCUUGCGCGAUUGAAUGAGCCGAUGUCGGAUUAGCUAGUUGGCGGGGUAAAGGCCCACCAAGGCGACGAUCCGUAGCUGGUCUGAGAGGAUGAUCCGCCACACUGGAACUUAGACACGGUCCCGACUCCUACGGGAGGCCGCAGUGGGGAAUAUUGGACAAUGGGCGCAAGCCUGAUCCAGCCAUACCGCGUGGGUGAAGAAGGCCUUCGGGUUGUAAAGCCCUUUUGUUGGGAAAGAAAAGCAGCAGGUUAAUACCCCGCUGUUCUGACGGUACCCAAAGAAUAAGCACCGGCUAACUUCGUG